AUUGAACGCUGGCGGCAGGCCUAACACAUGCAAGUCGAGCGAGCGGCGGACGGGUGAGUAAUGUAUGGGGACUGCCCGAUAGAGGGGGAUAACUACUGGAAACGGUAGCUAAAACCGCAUACUAUCGGAUAACCGAUAUGGGAUUAGCUAGUAGGUGAGGUAAUGGCUCACCUUGGCGACGAUCCCUAGCUGGUCUGGGAGGAUGAUCAGCCACACUGGGACUGAGACACGGCCCAGACUCCUACGGAGGCAGCAGUGGGGAAUAUUGCAAAAUGGGCGCAAGCCUGAUGAAGCCGUGCCGCGUGUAUGAAGAAGGCCCUAGGGUUGUAAAGUACUUUCAGUCGGGAGGCGUUACCGACAGAAGAAGCACCGGCGAACGCCGUGCAAGCAGCCGAGGUAAUAC
rnacentral:rRNA from 1 species